AAGUAAAGUAGAAGGGCUUUUAUAAAUAGCUGUAAAGUUCAACAGCAUGUGUGUCAACUCAUAAGGAGAGACUUCCAUCAAAUCAAACAAGAAGAACUUUCUUUAUUUCUUCUCUUUUCUUCUUUUCUUUUUUUCAAAUUAAGGAAAGAAUAUCAGUAUGCACUGCCGAAAUCGUUAUGUUACUAUUAGAUGGUGGAUUGUACAAAUAAUAAAAUUAAUAUCCGUAUGAAUAUUUGACAAAUGAAACAGUUCCCUGCUGUAGAUCCUGCGGGUUUGUUUAGCUGUCAUUGUAAAACGAUUGCGGAUAAAUCUUCUUUACUUUCCCACCAAAUAAUGCUAUAUCCAAAGUAUCAAAAGUUUUGUGCGGGUAAGUCGUUAAAAUAACACCAUUCCUCCAAAAAAAUAAAUAAAUAUAAUAUAAAAAAUAAAACGAACCCCUUCAAACGAGGGAGAAUACUCUCCUGAAGAUGAACGAAUUUUGAAAAAUUUUUCUUAUUUUUUAAUUAAAAUCUAUUUAAUGGUAUUUGCUGAAAACUCGAUUUGACCCCAAGCAAAUGUUGAGACAUUCAUGUAAAAGAAAUUAUUACGAAAAA